rnacentral:rRNA from 1 species
UAAAAAAAGGUAAGCUACUAAGAGCGAAUGGUGGAUGCCUUGACUGGUAAAGGCGAUGAAGGACGUACUAGACUGCGAUAAGCUACGGGGAGCUGUCAAGAAGCUUUGAUCCGUAGAUUUCCGAAUGGGGCAACCCAAUGUAUAGAGAUAUACAUUACCUAUAUAGGAGCGAACGAGGGGAAUUGAAACAUCUUAGUACCCUCAGGAAAAGAAAUCAAUAGAGAUUGCGUCAGUAGCGGCGAGCGAAAGCGCAAGAGGGCAAACCCAGUGCUUGCACUGGGGGUUGUAGGACUGCAAUGUGCAAGAGCUGAGUUUAGCAGAACAUUCUGGAAAGUAUAGCCAUAGAGGGUGAUAGUCCCGUAUGCGAAAAACAAAGCUUAGCUAGCAGUAUCCUGAGUAGGGCGGGACACGAGGAAUCCUGUCUGAAUCCGGGUCGACCACGAUCCAACCCUAAAUACUAAUACCAGAUCGAUAGUGCACAAGUACCGUGAGGGAAAGGUGAAAAGAACUGAGGUGAUCAGAGUGAAAUAGAACCUGAAACCAUUUGCUUACAAUCAUUCAGAGCACUAUGUAGCAAUACAGUGUGAUGGACUGCCUUUUGCAUAAUGAGCCUGCGAGUUGUGGUGUCUGGCAAGGUUAAGCAAACGCGAAGCCGUAGCGAAAGCGAGUCUGAAUAGGGCGCUUAGUCAGAUGCUGCAGACCCGAAACGAAGUGAUCUAUCCAUGAGCAAGUUGAAGCUAGUGUAAGAACUAGUGGAGGACUGAACCCAUAGGCGUUGAAAAGCCCCGGGAUGACUUGUGGAUAGGGGUGAAAGGCCAAUCAAACUUCGUGAUAGCUGGUUCUCUCCGAAAUAUAUUUAGGUAUAGCGUUGUGUCGUAAUAUAAGGGGGUAGAGCACUGAAUGGGCUAGGGCAUACACCAAUGUACCAAACCCUAUCAAACUCCGAAUACCUUAUAUGUAAUCACAGCAGUCAGGCGGCGAGUGAUAAAAUCCGUCGUCAAGAGGGAAACAACCCAG